rfam:Triticum aestivum genome assembly, contig: Triticum_aestivum_CS42_TGACv1_scaffold_308528_4AS
CAUAUACUCCCUCCGUUCCUAAAUAUAAGUCUUUUUAGAGAUUUCAAUAAGUGACUACAUAUGGAGCAUCUGUAUGUAGUCACUUAUUGAAAUCUCUAAAAAGACUUACAUUUAGGAACGGAGGGAGUAUUAU